rnacentral:lncRNA from 1 species
CACUCUAUGUCUCUAUCUUCUCUCUCUCUCUCUCUCUCUCUCUGCUCGAUCCCCUCCUUUCUCUCGAUCUCCACCUCCGCCACUACUAUCGCCGCCUCUCCUGGCCAUCUCCGGUGGUCUUCAGCGCCGCGCUAGCUCAUAAAUUACUUCCCUCGCUCCGCUCUUCCUUUCAGUCCAACCAAUCUCCUUGAUUGCUUCCUCCUAGCCCGGUCCCUUGUUCUUGGUGACCUAGGGUUUCGUUGGUGGUUCUGGUGUGGAACUCCGGUGAUCCCCCGGUUGAUGUGGGGUGCACAGGACGUCUCCAUUUUUCUCACCGCGGCGCGGUGAUGCUCCUGGGUGGCGUCUCCGUGCGAUGGUGCCCUUGGAGCAGCGUCAGCGUGCCCGGCGCUUGCUCUGGUCGCCGUGGAUUCUCCGACGAACUCCUAGCCCUUUCCUGGGUGUGAUGGUGGUCAGACCACAGCCAUGGUGUGGCUUUGUUUAUACUACGGCUCCAUCCCCUCUUGGUGAGCCCUCUCCUCCUGUUCUACGGUUUCUGCUCCACUGCUUGAUGCUAGCCUUGUUUGUGAUGAUCUAAAUUUAGUAUGGAAGUGUUCUAGAGCUUAGUGGUAGUGGUUUGUGUCCUUGGUGGCAGUGGUGGUUUGCUCUGAUCUAGUUCUUUGUACUGCUUAACUCUGAACUUGGUUGAAUUUUACGCAGUUAACUCUGAAACUGUGCUUCUAGGUUUACUUCUAAGUGCUGCUAGUCUCUGUGUUGUAUUAGCCGUAGUAGAUAAUUACUCUGUUAGUACUAGAUUAGGGUCUCAACAAUAAUUUCUACUGUUGGCUCAUACUGGCUUGUAUUUUAGUGUUUGCUAAAUGUUUGUGGUGUCUUUUUGAUUCAGUUAAAUGAAACUGCUGUUUUAGCUUCUAUAUAUGUGUUGUUCAAUGUGUUAUUCCUUUCAGUUGGUCUAUUUAAUCUUUAGAUAACAGUGGUUUAUUAUUGUUUUCAAAUGUUACUGCUUGCAAUCGGAGGAGGGUCAUGUGAUGCUAGAAGAAUGAGCAUACGCAUUACAACAGGAGGCACUGACGGCCCAUGCAGACGGGCGUGGGGAAUGGAGACGGCAAAAUUGUACUCCCUCCAGUGUUGUUUCAUAAACGCUCUUAUAUUAUGGGACGGAGGGUUUCAUAAACGCUCUUAUAUUAUGGGACGGAGGGAGUACGUCUAAAAGAGGGUGGACGAGCAGAAGCUGAAGAAAAAGCUGAAAAUGGGAACACAACUAUGGAAGAAGAGUAGGAGAAGGAAAACAGAGGAACGGAAAGGCUGAUGCAUGCUUGCGAUGGUUAUAUUGCUUUGUGUGUGUUUAUACUAGUUGCUCUAUUUUGGAUGCCGUUUCCAGUGUUGUUUCAUGUUUGCUUUGUUGUUAUUCCCUCUGUUCUGAAUUAUAAGAUGUUUUAAUCUUUUUUCCUGAUUCAGAUGUGUAUAAACGUGGUUUACUGUGCUUGUUUAUUCAUUUAAAUCUGUAUGUAAUCCAUAUUGAAAUAUCCAAAACAUGGAUGGGGCAAGCCUGCAAAACUCGCACCGGAUGCUUUUUAAUCUUUGUUUUGCUUCGUUAUCGUUUGAUAGUGGAACCAUUUUUAUAGCAAAUUUUAGGAAAUUACUUUUUAACAGGUCUUAUAGCAAAUAUCAUUUUUUUGAACGCAG